rnacentral:lncRNA from 1 species
AUUCAGCCUCAUAUGAAAUAUGAAACAAAACUGAAAGAAAAGGAGCACAGUUGCGAAUACAGAUUUUUUGUUGAAAUACACGUUCUGCAAACGUAACAAACAAGUUUUCAAACAAGAAAUCAUGUAUCUUGAUAAUGUCUGUUUAAAUCAUAGACAUUUUGUACAAUAUACGAUUCUUCCGUCCCUAAAAGGCAUGUAUAUAAAUUAACAUAAACACUGUUAGAUAGUAGGUUUUUUGCAGUUUUUUUUCUUUUCUCCUUCCAACUUCUGAAAAGAACAACUAAUUUGAUCUUUUUCGUUUGUUUUAUUCUAAUUGCUAUAUAAAUUACACCGACUGGUUAUAAUACAUAGGUACCAUCCAAUAUAAAGUUAAGCACACCAGUUUUCAUUUGAUUAAGUUGAUGCUAUUAUUGCAUCAUGUUUCCAAAAAAGGGACUAUUUAAUUACACUCGUUUGAAUAACAAAUGUUGUUUUAGGCAUUUAGAUCAAUUUAAUUAAGGUCUUUCCUUUUACUAAAGGGAAAGACCUUACUGUAUUUCUUCUGAUUAUUAUUAUUAUUCUUUUUGUUCCGCCAAACUUUGACAAAAUUUCCCUCCGUAACCGUAAACCAUGUCGCUUUCAUGUUCACACUUUGUAUUGGUG